ensembl:lncRNA
GCGGGGAUGUAGGUGGGAUUGCGAGAAUCGAAAAGGUUGGAGAUCCCACACGCUCAGCUUCCGAGAAAGUACGUUUUACAAUCAUUUCUUAUUAUAUUUCCCGCUUGUUCUAUACAGGCGAGGACUAUCUUAAUUUAAUUGGUUUAGUGUAAGGUUUUUUCCCUUUAUUUUUUUUACAUCAAGCUCUACGGUAAGCUUGGAGACGGACGGCUUGGACAGUGGGAGCCCUCCCCUCCACUCGGAACCGCUUUGGUAGGUGCGAACAAAAAAGAGAGAGUGUUUGCAAAUAUGCAGAUACAAAGGAGGGAGGGGGGGAUCAUACUUUGUUGAAGUCUGCUGAAAGUUGGGGAUGUCAUCUUCCUAACGAUCAAGUUAACUGGGAGAAUGGGAGAAUGGUUCUUCUCAAACGUGCUGGUGCAGACCAUACGCUGGCACCGCAGAGACCGGGGUUUCAGAUCAUUGAGUCCAGACAAAAGAUGAACGUGGUACCUUCAGGCGUUUGGAAAUUGCUCCCAAGGAUGAACCAGACUUGUGGAGGUCAGCAAUUUUGUUUUCUGAGGUCUUGGCUUAUUUGAUUUUCCCAUGAUGUCAAGCAAAGAGGC